rnacentral:misc_RNA from 1 species
CACACAAAGUCACUGAACAACGGCAAUGACGAAGUUCCUCAUUGCCUUUACGGCUGUUUUCGUCGGUGCUUCUGCACAGAAUGCCACUAACCGAUUCCCAGAUAACUUCAUGUUUGGAGCUGCGACAGCCGCAUAUCAGAUCGAAGGAGCUUGGAAUGAAGACGGCAAAGGGGAAAGCAUUCAGGACUACUUCUUCCACAACUAUCCGGAAUACACCACAGGAGACACCGGCGACGUUGCCUGCGAUUCCUACCACAGGUACCAGGAGGACGUGCAGAUGCUGAAGGCGCUCAACGCAGACGUAUAUCGAUUUUCGAUUUCCUGGCCACGUGUGUUGCCUACCGGGGACGUGGACGUUAUCAACCAGCCUGGUAUCGACUAUUACAACAACCUCAUCAACGAGCUGCUUGCCAAUGGAAUUCAGCCUGUGGUUACAAUGUACCACUUCGAUCUCCCUCAAGCACUGCAGUACAUCGGAGGCUGGCCCAACGAGAUGCUGGCCGACUACUUCGUUCAAUACGCAAGGAUACUCUUCCAAAACUUCGGUGAUAGGGUGAAGUGGUGGAUCACAUUUAACGAGCCUGCUGUCUUCGUGAACGGCUACGCGGCGGAAGGUAUCGCCCCUUCUCAGCCAGCGUCGGGCAUUGGUGACUACCUGGCGACACACACCGUCAUCAAAGCACACGCACGGGUCUGGCAUCUGUAUGAUGAAGAGUUCAGAGCAUCACAGAACGGUAGUGUGGGAAUCACACUUAAUAUGGAUGGGCUUGAACCGGCGAGUAACACAGAAGGGGAAAACGAUGCCAGUGAACGAGCACGACAGUUUCAGAUGGGUAUCUUCGCACACCCAAUCUACACUGAGGAAGGGGAUUACCCACUUGUGGUGCAACAGUUAGUGGAUGACAACAGUGCUCGUGAGGGACGAAACCACUCAAGGCUACCAAAAUUCACACAGGAAGAGAUCGAAUACAUUAGGGGGUCGGCAGACUUUCUCGGAAUGAACCACUACUCAACCAACUUCGUGACGCCAGGCCUCAUAGGUGAAUCGCCUUCCAAAUCGCGGGACUCUGGAGUGUAUACAAUGCCUGGUGGGCACUAUGCUUGGGGACUACGAAAUCAGCUGAAUUGGGUUGCCACCGAAUACCCAGGAUAUCCAAUCUUUAUAACAGAGAACGGUCUCUCCAACUCUGGAGGGCUAAACGACACAGACCGCAUCGAUUACUUUACAGAAUACCUCGGAGCUGUCCUAGAAGCGAUAAACACUGAUGGUGUUCCAGUAAUCGGUUACACGGCGUGGAGUCUCAUGGACAACUUUGAAUGGAACUCGGGAUACACGGUUAAGUUUGGACUGUACGAGGUGGAUUUCAACAGUACAAACAGGACGAGGACGCCCAAAGACUCGGCCAGCUUCAUGGCAGAAGUCUUCAGCAGCAAGCAGCUACCCGACCAGUACAGCCUGUAGGAGGUACAUCAGUAUGUCAACGCCCAGUUUACUGCCAGAUACAAAAUGCAUUACAGUACACGAAGCAGUAAAUCAAGAGCAACAUCGAGCAGCAAGAGCAAGCUGAAGCAGCAUAGUGUUCCACUCGUGGCCUCGCUUGAAGCAUAAAAUAGGAAAAAUACAGGAUAGCAUCAAGCCAGU